rnacentral:lncRNA from 1 species
CUCUCUCUCUUCUCUCUCUCCCUCUCCCUCUCUCUCUCUCUCUCUCUUUUAAAAAAUCAGCCAUUUGGGGUUUUAAGCCAUAAACGAUUUUUCUUGUUGCAGGGGAUUGCAGUGGCAAAGCUAGGCUAGGUCUUGGAGGCUGGUGUAAGGCGAUGUGGGUGAAGGCAGGAGGCUGAUGGAAAGACUGGGGGGAAGAAAAGCCGAAAUGGAUUCACGGUGCCUUGGAUGAAGGACGAGAGGGGAACUGCAAGCUCCUUCAACUGGUUCUGUCCGGUGAGAAGUGAUCAAGCUUGGGCUGACAAGAGGCUCAGGGAGCCCUCACGUUCUUUCGCUUUUUUACCUGCCAAUCAAACUGCUACAAGACAACACCCUGAUCUGGCAUGGACAUCGCGGGUCCAAGCCUGUAGCCCCAAAUCGGAUAAUCUCUGCAGCUGAUAACAAGCAAAAGAGAAGCCAGGCAACAGCCAUAUUAAAGAAGAAAACAAUCAACUCUGAGAUCCAACUUAGAAAUAAUGUUUCAUUCAAGAUAAGGCUCGUGGCUUAGGAGAUUGUGACCUGGCUUGCAUCAUUCUAAGACUUCUAUCGUCUGUUUUCAAAACCCAAGGAGGACCUCCUUUUCUGUGUGAUAGUUCCUCAUGCUUUGCCAGCCACUGGGUCUUUAAGGAAGCUUGCCAAGAGUUCCCGGCUGGGAAGGACAGUUCGAGUUCAUCAUAGACAAUGAGCUGGCACCACAGUUUAAGUGACUCACCAACCUGGUUGCCCACUUCAAAAUGUCAAGAACCACACUAUCUAAUUGAAAGAACUGUGUUUUAGCAAAGUGUAAUUGGAUCGCCUGGCAAGAUCAUCUCAAACUAUGUCUCUGACCUUGCCUUUCAGUGGCUAUUUUGAGCACAAGAGGAGAAAGGAAAUGAUUCCUGAAUUAUAUC